AUGUGGACGCGUGGGUGCCGACCCGGUCGGCAUGUGGCAUUUUGCAAAGAGGCCCCUGCCUUUGGUUUGAAUCUGUCCGGCGUCGUGCCGCCCGAGCUCGCCCGGCUCAACCGGCUGAUCACGCUCAGGCUCGACUCCAACAGGUUCACCGGCGGGGUCGACGGCAUUGCCCUGCCGAGGCUGCAGGAUCUCAACAUGUCCAACAAUCUCUUGUCUGCGAGGAUUCCGGUGGCGAUGGCGGGGUUUCCGGCCGAGGCAUUCGGCGGGGACACCGGCCUGUGCGGCGCGCCGCUCCCGCCGUGCAAGGAGAUGCGGAACGCGUCCCCGUGCCCUCCUGCCGCUACCAUGGCAUCGCCCUCGUCGAACCUGCAGGAAGGCAAGGGGAAGAUGAGCCACGGGGUCGUAGCCGCAGUUGUAGCCGCGGACUUCGCCGUGGUCGGGCUCGUGGCCGCGCUGCUCUUCUGCUACUUCUGGCCGCGCCUCUCCGGGCGGCCCAGCGACAGGCGCCACCACGAGGGGGAGAAGAUCAUCUACUCCUCCAGCCCGUACGGCGCUGCCGGAGUGGUCACGGCGGCCGGUGGCACGUACGAGUGUGGAAAGAUGGUGUUUCUGGAGGACGCCGGUGGGAGGCGGUUCGAGCUGGAGGAGCUGCUGCGCGCGUCUGCGGAGAUGCUCGGCAAAGGCGGCUACGGCACGGCGUACAAGGCGGUGCUCGACGACGGCAGCGUCGUGGCCGUGAAGCGGUUGCGCGACGCGGCGCCCGCGGCGGCGUCGACCAAGAAGGACUUCGAGCGCCACAUGGUCGUGCUCGGCCACCUUCGCCACCCCAACGUCGUGCCGCUCAACGCCUACUACUACGCCCGCGACGAGAAGCUCCUCGUCUACAAGUUCAUGCCCAACGGCAGCCUCUUCUCCCUCCUCCACGGUAACCGAGGGCUGGACCGGACGCUGUUGGACUGGGCGGCGCGCAUGCGCAUCGCGGUGGGCGCCGCGCGCGGUCUCGCCUACAUCCACCACGCGAGCUGGCGCGGCGGGAUGACGCCCAAGCUGGUGCACGACAACUUCAAGAGCACCAACAUCCUGCUCGACGGGUCGGGCGAGGCCCGCCUCGCUGACUGCGGGCUGGCGCAGUUGGGCACGUCGUCGCCGGCGGCGAGCUCGACGGGGUACCAUGCGCUCGAGGCGCCGGCGCCGGCGUCCCGGCCGUGGGCGUCGCAGAAGGGCGACGUGUACGCGCUCGGGGUGGUGCUGCUGGAGCUGCUGAUGGGGUGGUGCCCGGGCAGCGAGCUGCCCAAUGGCGGCGUGGUGGCGGAGCUGCCGCGGUGGGUGCAGUCGGUGGUGCGGGAGGAGUGGACGUCGGAGGUGUUCGACCUGGAGCUGAUGAAGGACAAGGGCAUCGAGGAGGAGAUGGUGGCCAGCUCGGGCGGCACGACGCCGGACAGAUUCAAACCAAAGGCAGGGGCCUCUUUGUAA
rnacentral:rRNA from 1 species